rnacentral:rRNA from 1 species
CGCUGGCGGCGUGCUUAACACAUGCAAGUCGAGCGAGAAAGUUUUCUUCGGAAAAUGAGUAGAGCGGCGCACGGGUGAGUAACGCGUGGAUAAUCUGCCCUGAAGAUCGGGAUAACAGUUGGAAACGACUGCUAAUACCGUAUAAUCUGCAUAUUUAGCUUUAUGUGGGAAAGGUGGCCUCUAUUUAUAAGCUACCACUUUUGGAUGAGUCCGCGUCUCAUUAGCUUGUUGGUGGGGUAAUGGCCUACUAAGGCAACGAUGAGUAGCUGGUCUGAGAGGAUGAUCAGCCACACUGGGACUGAAACACGGCCCAGACUCCUACGGGAGGCAGCAGUGGGGAAUAUUGCGCAAUGGGGGAAACCCUGACGCAGCGACGCCGCGUGUAGGAAGAAGGCCUUCGGGUCGUAAACUACUGUCAAGAGGGAAGAAACUGUUUGAUCAUAAUACGUUCAUUCACUGACGGUACCUCUAGAGGAAGCACCGGCUAACUCCGUGCCAGCAGCCGCGGUAAUACGGAGGGUGCGAGCGUUAAUCGGAAUCACUGGGCGUAAAGCGUGCGUAGGCGGCGCUUCAAGUCAGACGUGAAAGCCCUCGGCUCAACCGAGGAAUUGCGU